GGCGAACGGGUGAGUAAUGCAUCGGAACGUGCCCAUGUCGUGGGGGAUAACGUAGCGAAAGCUACGCUAAUACCGCAUACGCCCUGAGGGGGAAAGCGGGGGAUUCUUCGGAACCUCGCGCGAUUGGAGCGGCCGAUGUCGGAUUAGCUAGUAGGUGAGGUAAAGGCUCACCUAGGCGACGAUCCGUAGCGGGUCUGAGAGGAUGAUCCGCCACACUGGGACUGAGACACGGCCCAGACUCCUACGGGAGGCAGCAGUGGGGAAUUUUGGACAAUGGGCGCAAGCCUGAUCCAGCCAUGCCGCGUGAGUGAAGAAGGCCUUCGGGUUGUAAAGCUCUUUCGGCCGGGAAGAAAUCGUGGUCUCUAACAUAGGCCAUGGAUGACGGUACCGGACUAAGAAGCACCGGCUAACUACGUGCCAGCAGCCGCGGUAAUACGUAGGGUGCGAGCGUUAAUCGGAAUUACUGGGCGUAAAGCGUGCGCAGGCGGUUUUGUAAGACAGAUGUGAAAUCCCCGGGCUUAACCUGGGAACUGCGUUUGUGACUGCAAGGCUAGAGUACGGCAGAGGGGGGUGGAAUUCCUGGUGUAGCAGUGAAAUGCGUAGAGAUCAGGAGGAACACCGAUGGCGAAGGCAGCCCCCUGGGCCUGUACUGACGCUCAUGCACGAAAGCGUGGGGAGCAAACAGGAUUAGAUACCCUGCUAGUCCACGCCCUAAACGAUGUCGACUAGUCGUUCGGAGCAGCAAUGCACUGAGUGACGCAGCUAACGCGUGAAGUCGACCGCCUGGGGAGUACGGCCGCAAGGUUAAAACUCAAAGGAAUUGA
rnacentral:rRNA from 1 species